rnacentral:rRNA from 1 species
GAUGAACGCUGGCGGCGUGCCUAAUACAUGCAAGUCGAGCGAACAGACGAUGAGCUUGCUCCUCUGACGUUAGCGGCGGACGUGUGAGUAACACGUGGAUAACCUACCUAUCAUACUGGUAUAACUUCGGGAAACCGGCGCUAAUACCGGAUAAUCUCUUGCACCGCAUGGUUCAAUAGUGAAAGUCGGUUUUGCUGUCACUUCUAGCUGGAUCCGCGCCGCAUUAGCUAGUUGGUAAGGUAACGGCUUACCAAGGCGACGAUGCGUAGCCGACCUGAGAGGGUGAUAGGCCACACUGGAACUGAGACAGGGACCAGACUCCUACGGGAGGCAGCAGUAGGGAAUCUGACGCAAUGGGCGAAAGCAUGACGGAGCAACGCCGCGUGAGUGAUGAAGAUCUUCGGAUCGUAAAACUCUGUUAUGAGGGAAGAACAAAUGUGGAAGGAACUAUGCACGGAUUGACGGUACCUAAUCAGAAAGCCACGGCUAACUACGUG